rnacentral:misc_RNA from 1 species
GCAAACUUGGUCAUUUAGAGGAAGUAAAAGUCGUAACAAGGUUUCCGUAGGUAAGUUGGAAGCAUUUCUCUCAACUAUCUUUCUAUGCUUGAAUAGCAUGCUAACUUUUCUCUUUUAGGUGAACCUGCGGAAGGAUCAUUACCGAGUGUGACCCCCCGUAAAAAAGGAGGUACCUCCCGUCCUUUGCUAGGGCCUCUCCCCCAAGUUUUUUUGGGAAGAGAAGCUUUUUCAAACCUUCUGCUUCGGUGGGUUUACCCCCGCCGGAACAACCUCAAAAAUUCUUAUAUAACUGUUCUGUCCGAGAAAACUUUUAAAAAAGCGAAAAAACUUUCAACAACGGAUCUCUUGGUUCUGGCAUCGAUGAAGAACGCAGC